CCUACGGGAGGCUGCAGUGGGGAAUAUUGGACAAUGGGGGGAACCCUGAUCCAGCCAUGCCGCGUGUGUGAAGAAGGCCCUCGGGUUGUAAAGCACUUUCAGUGAGGAAGAACGCCUGGUGGUUAAUACCCAUCAGGAAAGACAUCACUCACAGAAGAAGCACCGGCUAACUCCGUGCCAGCAGCCGCGGUAAUACGGAGGGUGCGAGCGUUAAUCGGAAUUACUGGGCGUAAAGCGCGCGUAGGUGGCUUGAUAAGCCGGUUGUGAAAGCCCCGGGCUCAACCUGGGAACGGCAUCCGGAACUGUCAAGCUAGAGUGCAGGAGAGGAAGGUAGAAUUCCCGGUGUAGCGGUGAAAUGCGUAGAGAUCGGGAGGAAUACCAGUGGCGAAGGCGGCCUUCUGGACUGACACUGACACUGAGGUGCGAAAGCGUGGGUAGCAAACAGGAUUAGAUACCCCGGUAGUA
rnacentral:rRNA from 1 species